CUCGUGGAAGCACGCAAGUCGCGCAAAACAGUUCUGUCCUGCUAGAUUUGUGAUGCUUUAUCUGCUCCAAUAAAGCUUUGUGACGGAUGGAGCAACCGAUCCACCAUCCGAAAACCCACCCGGAGAGGAGGCCGCCGGCACAAGUGACCCAAUCCGCACUCGCCAACAGAUAAUCAACAACAAGGGGACACAGCAGAAAAUCAACUUCACGAAGAAAGGAGCAGCGAAAAAGCUGUGAGAUGGGCCAGGUGAUGGAAGAACACUCCGCAUAACUUGACCGUAAGGAAUCCAUGUGGACUUACUCUUCUCCAGUCUAGUGUUGGACAUAAUCUGUGGAGCGUUGCACCCGUAUCAACAGAUGCCCUCUGCCACAAAAAAAACACUUCUUCGGAAAUAAGGUUAGCACCAAAGCCAUUCUCGGUGUGUUGCCUAUGGUAACGACAGAGAUGGACGUUUUUUUGGACUCUGGAGGGGUCUCCGGUAACCCGUAAGCCCCCCUGACCAGCUGUGCAAUAUACCUUGCAAGAAGAAUGCUGUGGGGAUAAGCAUUGAGAAAAGGGCACUGCUUUCCCACUUCUAAGAUGGCGCCAUGACCCUCUAGGUACGCAGAGCGCAUGCGCUGAGGAGAGCGUCUCUGCUCCACAGUAACGGCCAUCACAUGACUUGUCAUCUGACUACACAGAGCGUAACGUCACUUCCGGUCCCCGGAAGCAUCCUAGCGUCCACGCUGAACAGCUAAUGGAUUCCGAAACGAUCUACGGCUAGUGUCCCGCCUCCCUCCGCCCACCUCAUUACACGUCAUGCACCAUGCACCUGAGAUUGUAUAUGGUAUGCGCUGUAAUUUUUAUAUAUUUAUUGCAUGCAUUGACGAUCAGAGAAUAUGCCAGGGUUCAUAUGUAUGCAUCUUUAGCACUGAUGUAUGUCGUAGUUCACAUAUAUGUCUUUUUAUGCACUUUUCUACAAUGUUUAUAUCUAAUUGGUUAAUUGAUCACAAGGUCCUGCGUGACCAUAAAAAGCCAGAAGCUGUAACACUAGUUACUUGAUAAUGGAGUGU